rnacentral:rRNA from 1 species
CAGUAGCCACGGUAAUACGAAGGGGGCUAGCGUUGCUCGGAAUUACUGGGCGUAAAGGGAGCGUAGGCGGACAUUUAAGUCAGGGGUGAAAUCCCAGAGCUCAACUCUGGAACUGCCUUUGAUACUGGGUGUCUUGAGUGUGAUAGAGGUAUGUGGAACUCCGAGUGUAGAGGUGAAAUUCGUAGAUAUUCGGAAGAACGCCAGUGGCGAAGGCGACAUACUGGAUCAUUACUGACGCUGAGGCUCGAAAGCGUGGGGAGCAAACAGGAUUAGAUACCCCAGUAGUCCCUGUCUCUUAUAC